rnacentral:lncRNA from 1 species
AGAAGAAACUGUUUAGACUUCAGUUUUAUAAAUCCCGGUCAUGACAUUAUUCAUUCUUCCCUAGGAAGAAAGGUCCUGAAUGCAGUGUACCGAGGUUUGAUCAAACAAGUGACGACUGGAUUAGGAGCGGAUUUACAAGGAAGUUUUCAGCCUUACAGUGAAGUGGCAUGGAGGACGGCCUUAUCUGAAAAGUGUGCCCAAAGGAGGCCUGGUGCACCACAUCUUCGGAGAGGGCAGAGAUGCCAGGCCCCGCCAGGAACCCGAGGAGGAAUCGUGCCCCUUCACUUAGAGCAAGCAAGGGGGUUGCCCCCCUCCUUACAGCACUCGGAUGAGAAAGAGAGGAAUCCAUUUCCAGGAAAGGAUGCAGUUCGCAGUUCACGGUUAUUGGAUGAAAGAAAAAUUGUUUGAGGAAGCCGGAACUAGAGCCCAUAUGUGCCCACUUUCAGGGCUGAGGACCCCUAACACUACAGCCUCUGGAUCAAGGUUGUAUUUUUUGCUUUCUUUCUGGCCCCAUGACUCUUAAAUUCUUAGAUACUCAGCACAAAAUGAAAGCGAGACAUAGCUGCUCAGGAAUUUGAAUGCUCUGAGCAGAGAUACUUUGGCUGCAUGAGGCUCCUGAAAAAGUGUGUGUCUGCGUGUGCGCACACAUGUUCCUCUGUGUGUGUGCACUUGUGUGUGUGUGCACAUGUGUGUGUGCACAUGUGAGAUAUGGCUCAGGGAGAGGAGGAGUGAGACCACACUGAAAGAGAGAGAAAAAGCAGCUUCGGCAGCCUGAGCAGCUCUGCUCUGUAGGCUUGUGGGAAGCUGGAGGGGUGGCUCUUGGACUAAGGUUCUGGCAGAAAGUCUUGAAGGGGUAAGUGAAGAAGCUGUCAGGUUGUUUGAUUAUUUUCUGUAGUCAAAGAAGCAGGAUUUGUACAUUCCUGUAAGUCAAGUUGCGUAAAAGAUCUGUGAUUGAAUCCAUUGCUGUUUUCUUCCCAAUUGGCAGUCCUAGGAGGUCUAGGUUCAGGACUUCUGAACAGCUGCUUAGAUCAAAGCAUGUUGCUAACAGCAGUAGCUUGUUUUCCUGCCCACUCGUAGGGAAUGUGCAGAUAUUUUAAAGACUUUUUAUAUUUUCACCUUUAAGUGCUGUGCUUACUACUUACUCCUUACCUUAUUACUCCUUUCCCUAUUUCAUGGUAUUCAAAGAUGCUGUUACUUUAUAAAACCAGUUUAUAGUUUUCCAUUUUGAUCCCAUCAUUUUGAAGUAAGUCUGAUAACUCUUGAGCACUCCCUCUCUCCCAGGAAGAACGUAGGCUGCCUUCCCACGUUGGCUGUGCUGCUGUAAAGUUUAAUCAAUUGGCUACCAACUGACAUCAAUUGGCUCUAAGUUUGAAGUGAAUCCUGCAACUCAGAUCCAUUGAGCUACUCC